UGUGGGAGCGAGCUUGCUCGCGAUACCGGUAGACCAGCCAACAUCAAUAUCGACUGAUAGACCCCCAUCGCGAGCAAGCUCGCUCCCACA
rnacentral:antisense_RNA from 1 species